GUGUAAAAAGUUUGCUGUUGUUGGAAUUUUAUUGCAAGGGAUGUGGAAGCGAAAAAGAAAAAAAAUUAAAAACUGUUUGCUAAAAGAAAAAAAUAAAUCAAACAAUUUAUAUUGAAAUCCAUUAAAAUGAGAUAUAAACUGAAAGUUUUUGAUGUAGAAUAUGUCGUAUGAGCUUCGGAAAUUGGUAAGUUAAUGUGCAUUUUUUUAAUUGCAACUAGGUACCUAAUACAAUUUGUUUGAUCUUUUUGUUUAAUUCUCACGGCACGUUAAAGGUUCGUCAAAACAAAAAUCACCUCCGGAUGGUGGAGCUGUCUGAUUUGCAUAUGGAAAUAACCGACGGAAAAGGCGGAAAAGGAGCUACGGUUAUCUUGUUCUGCAUGGGCUACUUCCGUUGAUUAGAGAAACUGAACAAGCUGGACAGAUCGGCAUCGGAGAAAUUUUCCAUAUCAGGUUUUCUGGAAACGGUUGGAAGCUAGUCUUAGUGUCGUUGAUCAGGAACCGGUGUUGUUGAGCAGAGUGGAGAAACAAAAUUACUUUACCCGGAUCAUACUCAUUGUUCGGGAUGGUUAAUCCGACCAUCGAAACAGGUUAAAAAAUCAACCCAGAAGACCUCAUCGAAGAGGUCGCCUUCUUUAGAACCUCAGCGGAUGUGCAUCGGAUACUUCUGCCGAAACGGGAAAUUCCUUGCAAGCUUGAGAGAACGAAUGUUUUAUUUUGGUCACCUCAUCGAAACUGUUCCAACAGGUAUCUUAAACAUAUUUAUUAGUGAAUAAU